rnacentral:rRNA from 1 species
GACAGAGGGUGCAAACGUUGCUCGGAAUUACUGGGCGUAAAGCGCGUGUAGGCGGACCACCAAGUCGGACGUGAAAGCCCUGAGCUCAACUCAGGAACUGCAUCCGAAACUGGCGGUCUGGAGUAGUGGAGAGGAAAGCAGAAUUCCUGGUGUAGAGGUGAAAUUCGUAGAUAUCAGGAAGAACACCUAUGGCGAAGGCAGCACUCUGGGACGGUACUGGCGCUGAGACGCGAAAGCGUGGGGAGCGAACAGG